rnacentral:rRNA from 1 species
CCUACGGGCGGCUGCAGUGGGGAAUAUUGCACAAUGGGCGCAAGCCUGAUGCAGCCAUGCCGCGUGUGUGAAGAAGGCCUUCGGGUUGUAAAGCACUUUCAGCGGGGAGGAAGGCGUUAAGGUUAAUAACCUUGGCGAUUGACGUUACCCGCAGAAGAAGCACCGGCUAACUCCGUGCCAGCAGCCGCGGUAAUACGGAGGGUGCAAGCGUUAAUCGGAAUUACUGGGCGUAAAGCGCACGCAGGCGGUCGGUCAAGUCGGAUGUGAAAUCCCCGGGCUCAACCUGGGAACUGCAUUCGAAACUGGCAGGCUAGAGGCUUGUAGAGGGGGGUAGAAUUCCAGGUGUAGCGGUGAAAUGCGUAGAGAUCUGGAGGAAUACCGGUGGCGAAGGCGGCCCCCUGGACAAAGACUGACGCUCAGGUGCGAAAGCGUGGGGAGCAAACAGGAUUAGAUACCCCUGUAGUC